rnacentral:rRNA from 1 species
GAAACGACUGCUAAGACUGGAUAGGAGAUAAGAAGGCAUCUUCUUAUUUUUAAAAGACCUAGCAAUAGGUAUGCUUAGGGAAGAGCUUGCGUCACAUUAGUUAGUUGGUGGGGUAAUGGCCUACCAAGACGAUGAUGUGUGGCCGGGCUGAGAGGUCGAACGGCCACAUUGGGACUGAGACACGGCCCAAACUCCUGCGGGAGGCAGCAGUAAGGAAUUUUCGGCAAUGGAGGAAACUCUGACCGAGCAAUGCCGCGUGAACGAUGAAGUAUUUCGGUACGUAAAGUUCUUUUAUUAGGGAAGAAAAGAUGGUGGAAAAACCAUUAUGACGGUACCUAAUGAAUAAGCCCCGGCUAACUAUGUGCCAGCAGCCGCGGUAAUACAUAGGGGGCAAGCGUUAUCCGGAAUUAUUGGGCGUAAAGGGUGCGUAGGCGGUUAAAUAAGUUUAUGGUCUAAGUGCAACGCUCAACGUUGUGAUGCUAUAAAAACUGUUUAGCUAGAGUUGGAUAGAGGCAAGUGGAAUUCCGUGUGUAGUGGUAAAAUGCGUAAAUAUACGGAGGAACACCAGAAGCGAAGGCGGCUUGCUGGGUCUUAACUGACGCUGAGGCACGAAAGCGUGGGGAGCAAACAGGAUUAGGUACCCUGGUAGUCCACGCCCUAAACGAUGAGUACUAAACGUUGGAUAAAACCAGUGUUGAAGUUAACACAUUAAGUACUCCGCCUGAGUAGUACGUACGCAAGUAUGAAACUUAAAGGAAUUGACGGGACUCCGCACAAGCGGUGGAUCAUGUUGUUUAAUUCGAAGGUACCCGAAAAACCUCACCAGGUCUUGACAUGCUUUUGCAAAGCUGUAGAAAUACAGUGGAGGUUAUCAGAAGCACAGGUGGUGCAUGGUUGUCGUCAGCUCGUGUCGUGAGAUGUUGGGUUAAGUCCCGCAACGAGCGCAACCCUUGUUGUUAAUUGCCAUCAUUAAGUUGGGGACUUUAGCAAGACUGCCAAUGAUAAAUUGGAGGAAGGUGGGGACGACGUCAAAUCAUCAUGCCCCUUAUGACCUGGGCUACAAACGUGAUACAAUGGCUGUUACAAAGGGUAGCUAAAGCGUAAGCUUCUGGCGAAUCUCAAAAAAGCAGUCUCAGUUCGGAUUGAAGUCUGCAACUCGACUUCAUGAAGUUGGAAUCGCUAGUAAUCGCGAAUCAGCAUGUCGCGGUGAAUACGUUCGCGGGGUUUGUACACACCGCCCGUCA